UGCCGUGUUUGGAAGUAUGCCCCUGGUGGACGUCUUUGAUGUUGUCGUCUGUAAACUUUGGCCUUUUCUGCUGGAGUCUGAUUGGAAUGAAUUCGAUCCCCUGCUUUACACAUUCCUCAUCUAGGGCAGCAAGAAAAAGAUUAAAGUAAGGCAUACAAUUCCACUAAAUUUACAUUUAAAAACGCAACUACAUACAGGAAGCAAGGUAGAAAAUAAAAUGUAUCAAUUUAAGUUUAAAAAUGCAACAACAUACAGGGAGCAAGCUCAAAAUAAAAUGUAUCAAUUUACGUUUAAAAAUGCAACAACAUAAAGGGAGAAAUGUAGGAAAUAAAAUGUAUCAAUUUAAGUUGAAAAAUGCAACAACAGGAAGCAAGGAAGAAAAUAAAAUGCAUCUUAUUUUUCUCACUAAGAGUGCUUAUAAGCAUUUGAUGCACUUGAACGCCCCCGAAGGACGUACAAUUCACAAUUAAACCUAAAUUGUUACGAAAAACAUGCUGCGGUUAACUUCUUUUCACACCUGAGUGAUUGGUUAAACUACAUUAAGUAAGGAGACAUGCCAAGUUUUAAGACUACAGUCUACUGUAUUUUCUGGACCAUAGGACGCACCGGAUUAUAAAGCGCACUGCCGAUGAGCGGGUCUAUUCAGGUUUUUUUUCCAUACAAAAGGCCACCGGAUUAUAAGGCGCAUUAAAGGGGUCAUAUUAUGAUUUUUUUUCUGAAUAUAAAACACGUCCUUGUGGUCUACAUAACAUGUAAUGGUGUUUUUUUGGUCAAAAUGUUGCAUGGAUUUUGUUUUACUGACUAUAUUCAAGCUGCUUUCUGACAGUUGCUUCAGAAUGCUCCGUUUUGAGGGCUGUCUUAUUUGCGACAGCGUCUUCUCCCCGUCACCUUUGUUGUAGCGGUGUAGCGUGCAAGGAUGGGAGUGGAAGACGUGUCAAAAGAUGGAGAUAACUGUUUUAAUGAAAUUCAGACUUUACUUAAAUCAAUAACAAAGCAAUAUCUCCUCAUCCGCCAGAAAUGUGUCCCGUGAAAAACCGUCAGACCGCAAUCUCCAACAACUAAACUUCUUUAGAAAUAGCAACAACUGAGGAUGAAUGCCCCGUAACAAGAAGAUAGAGAAAAAGAAGAAGCUUAUCGACAAUGGAAUCUCCCCGGACUACAAAGGCGGACGAGCGCAAAUUUUCAGGACUCAUGCAGAUCCCAAAUACACAUCAGCAGGUACAAGAAGUUCCUUCCACAUGCAAGUCUAUCAUAAUUUUUCACUUCCGCCGUCUUCACCAAUCACCUUCAGGCAUGCAACGUUCUCAACAAUUGGAAUUCUGACUAUCACUC